AUUGAACGCUGGCGGCAUGCUUUACACAUGCAAGUCGAACGGUAACAGGCCGCAAGGUGCUGACGAGUGGCGAACGGGUGAGUAAUGCAUCGGAACGUGCCCAGUCGUGGGGGAUAACUGCUCGAAAGAGCAGCUAAUACCGCAUACGAUCUAUGGAUGAAAGCGGGGGACCGUAAGGCCUCGCGCGAUUGGAGCGGCCGAUGUCAGAUUAGGUAGUUGGUGGGGUAAAGGCUCACCAAGCCAACGAUCUGUAGCUGGUCUGAGAGGACGACCAGCAACACUGGGACUGAGACACGGCCCAGACUCCUACAGGAGGCAGCAGGGGGGAAUUUUGGACAAUGGGGGCAACCCUGAUCCAGCAAUGCCGCGUGCAGGAAGAAGGCCUUCGGGUUGUAAACUGCUUUUGUACGGAACGAAACGGUCUGGGUUAAUACCCUGGGCUAAUGACGGUACCGUAAGAAUAAGCACCGGCUAACUACGUGCCAGCAGCCGCGGUAACAC
rnacentral:rRNA from 1 species